UGCACCACCAUGCCCAGCUACUUUUUUUUUUCUAUUUUUAGUUGUUUGGCUAAUUUCUUUCUAUUUUUAGUGUUCUAAUCUAAAAAUCCAGGAAAGACUAUUCCAUGUGGCUUCACAGAAAGAAGUGUAGAAACAGAGUGAGCCUAACCAAGCCCCGGGGUCAGAUGCACCUUGGUUUAUUACAAAAAGAAAAGAAUGCAGUGUCCUUGUCACUGGAGGAAGGCCUCCUGCUGGCUGCUUGACAUUUACUGGCAAUGAAUGGUCCUCUGGGGGCAGGGUUGCCCCUCACCAACUCAGAGAAACUGGUCCUCGCUGGGCGCCGGCUGCCUCUCCGUGGGCCAGGCCUCUUCCUCCUCCACAGGCUGCCCCUAUGAAGAUGAGUCCUCUGUACUCGGCAGAGUCUCCGCCACUGUCCCCUCCUUGGCGGCGUGGGGCUCCUCUGGGGAGAUGUAUGGCUGGCUCUCCCCGAGUACUGGGGUGCUCCCAGAUGACGCCUUCUCCUCUGAGGAUUCUGUCUGGCUGCCCGAAAACGGCUGGCCCAAAGGCAAUGGCUCGGUUGCUGAAGGUUGUGGCUGACUCUCCGGAAGGGACAGCUGGUGUUCUUUGGGCAGUGCUGGUUCCUUCGGAAGAGAAAGUGACCACUCCUUGGCUGACAGCAGAUUCUUAAGAAGAAGUGGCCUCUGCUUGCGUGUGAGUGGCGGCUCCUGUACCGUCCAGAGCUUCUGGAAAGACCCAGAUUCCCUCUUCAUGCCGGCUGGCAACAUGUUGUGGGAGAACCUUGGUUGUCUGAAAUAACAGCCGGUGGCCUGUCCACGGAGAAGGAUGAGCAGCCGGUGCUACGUGGAGACGGCGGGCAUUGACAGAGAGACCAACUUGAAGUUCAGACAGGCCCUGAUGGUCACCCACCACAAGCUGACCAACACAAGGAAGAUGGCAUCCUUCCGAGGCCUCAUUUAAAUAAGAAAUCUGUAAAGCUGCCAGUCCUUGCUCUCAAUCUGUGGCCACCACAUUCCCUCCUGACUCCUUCCCAGGCCACCAGCGCUCUGCUUCCGCCACCCUGACAUUCAAUACGUCUCUCCCGAGGGACUCGUCAAACACAUGACAUGCCAUCGUCUGUAAAAUUAUAAUUUAACGGUAUACAGCUUCAAGUCACACAUUCCAAAAACUAGCUAAGGAUUUUUCUAAACAUAAACUAUACAUUAAAUAUUUUGAGGUAUUUCAGAGAAAAUUGUCAAAAGCUCAAAGGAGUUGUGCCGGAGGUAUCAUUCCCCGUGUGGAAAAUGCUCUUUGUGGGGAAGGGGCAGCCCCAAGCCAGUCCCACCUCCACAAGAUGAGCCACCAGGCUGUGGCAUGAGAGAACAAAAAGCAGAGACCAACCCUGGAGGCCUGACCCUGCUGUGGCCCCUCUUCUCUGCCCCUACACCUCUGUCCCUCCAACUGCUGCUCAGCCGACUGGCCCCACCUAUGCCUGCCAGCCCCUGCCAGCACCCACCGCCAGGUCCCAAUCCCGUCCUCCUUACGUGGCAUGGGGGCCUGGGUGGGCAGGGUGUUGUCUUGGUUUGUUUGAGACAGGCAAUGUCUUUUUUUAUUUUGACUUGUUAUUUUUAUUUUUAAUUUAAACCUGACAACUUGCACAGGGGCCACCCCAGCCCCGGGGGGAUCACAGGCCCGCUGCUGCCUUCCCUACAGGGGGCUGGGGUGGGCAUGAGCCAGAUCCUGGCCCAGUGUGAGCCUGGACCUCUGGGCCCCAGAUGGCCGGGUCUGCCUUUGGGCGGCUGGCUUCCAAACUGGCCGCCACCUGCCCACCUGGACCUCUGCGACCUCAGACAUUGUCUUCCAUCGGAGCCCCAUCCUUUUGUGGGGGACUCCCACAUCCCUCCUCCCCACACCUCUGGGCAGGAACCGAAUAAAUGUCUGUAUGGAUUUUAGAUUU